GAAGAGGCUGCCGGGAAACCGACUGCCUGCGGUCAGCUCCCCACUUUGUUUCUCUGAAUUUGAAAUCACGUGGAGGUCUAAACUGCGAGUUCUUCUCAGACUUCAUUUCUACAAGUCCAUUUCUACUCCACCUGGACUUUGUUUGAGACACUGCUGGACAGUGCUCUGCGUCGCCGGCUCGCGACAAGUGGCGCCCGAACAGGGACCUGGAAUUGAAGCAGCGAUCGGUGAGCAAUCCGUGAAGCCUGCUGUCAAAAAGGGUUCGGCCAAACC